rnacentral:rRNA from 1 species
AGUAAUGCUUGGGAAUCUGGCUUAUGGAGGGGGGUAACUACGGGAAACUGUAGCUAAUACCGCGUAAUAUCGAAAGAUUAAAGUGUGGGACCUUCGGGCCACAUGCCAUAGGAUGAGCCCAAGUGGGAUUAGGUAGUUGGUGAGGUAAAGGCUCACCAAGCCGACGAUCUCUAGCUGGUCUGAGAGGAUGACCAGCCACACUGGGACUGAGACACGGCCCAG